rnacentral:rRNA from 1 species
UACGGAGGGUGCAAGCGUUAUCCGGAUUUACUGGGUUUAAAGGGUGCGUAGGAGGACAGGUAAGUCAGUGGUGAAAUCUUCGAGCUUAACUCGGAAACUGCCGUUGAUACUAUCUGUCUUGAAUACCGUGGAGAUGAGCGGAAUAUGUCAUGUAGCGGUGAAAUGCUUAGAUAUGACAUAGAACACCAAUUGCGAAGGCAGCUCGUUACACGAAUAUUGACUCUGAGGCACGAAAGCGUGGGGAUCAAACAGG